rnacentral:lncRNA from 10 species
CUUAGCUGGUUUUGUAUUUUCUGUAGAGAUGGAGUUUCAUCAUUUUGAACUCCUGAGCUCAAGCGAUUCACCUGCCUCAGCCUUCCAAAGUAUUGGGAUUACAGACAUGAGCCACCAUGCCCAGCCUAUACAAUUCUUAAAUCAUGUAACGUUUCAACAACCCUGUGAGAUGAUGAAGCUGAAACUCACAGAAUUUGAAGCAGUUGCCUGAGAUUCUGCAGCCAGCCAGUGGCUUAGAGUGGAUUCCUGCCCCCAACUCUGGAUCCUAACGCUCUUCUCACCACCUCAUGGCACCUCCCUGGCAUUUGAACUUCGUGGUUGAAACUGAGGGUAAAGAAAGCAGGCGCGGCUCGUCAAGAUCCCCUAGUCAUUGGGUUGUGCUGCUCUGUCAUUCUCCUCACCAGCACCGCUAACUGCACUCCAUUCCGAUGGCUCAUGGCCCUUCACACACACAAAGGCCCUGCUCCCCUGCCAGGGAAGAGAGAGUAGGUUGCACAACUUGUCUGCAUUCACAGAGCAUGUCACCAAGCAAGCAAGAAGGAGAACACACAAGUUUGGCCCUGGAAAACCCUUGGCUGACUCUGCUGAGAGGAAAGUGGGCCUCCAUGCUAACUGAGACAGUGCAGAUAGAGGAACUGAACUGUGAAAAUAGCUCUAAAAAGCCAACAGCAUCUAUUAAUUAGACUUGACUGGGGUGUUCAGGGCUGCGGUUUGGAAUUGUCAGCUCUUUAUGCAAAGGGGACUUUAGAUCACUCUGUGCUCUUACCCCAUUUCCAAAACACACAUAACCAACGAAUGUUUCUCACAGUCUGGGUGGUCUCCCACAUGGGUCCUGCCCGGUCUGUUUUUCCAGUGGGACAAAACAUAGGCUUCUCCCUGGAAGAUUCCUGGAAGACCCCUCCCCCCACCUUCACCUUUCAGUUCUGUAAGCUUCCUCAUCAGUGCUGUGUUUCUUUCCAGAGCUCUGACUCAAAGAGCCCUCUGGUGUGACCUCAUCAUAUUAUCACAACAGCCCUGUGAGUUUGGAAGAGGUAGGAGGAUUUCCUGAUAGAUUAAGGAUGGUCGUUCUAAGGCUCUGAGAAGUAAAGUGUCUUCCCCAUGGUUAAGGUGGGGUCCCUAAUCUCACUACCCAGUCUGGAGUUAGAAAGACAAAUGUUCCUGGCCUGGCGUGGUGGCUCAUGCCUGUAAUCCCAGCAUUUUGGGAGGCUGAGGUGGGAGGAUCACUCGAGGUCAGGAGUUCGAGACCAGCCUGGCCAACAUGGCAAAACCCCGUCUCUACUAAAAAUACAAAAAUUAGCCCAGCACGCACUGUAGUCCUAGUUACUCAGGAGGCUGAGGUAUAAGAAUCGCUUGAACCCGGGAGGCGGAGGUUGCAGUGAGCCAAGAUCAUGCUACUGCACUCCAGUCUGGGUGACAGAGCAAGACCCUGUCUCAAAAAAAAAAAGAAAAAAAAAAAAAAGACAGACAAAUGUUCCCAUCUAGGGCCCUCUGCUGAAGGCUGUGGAAUGCAGGCAUCUUGGCCAGUUGGGAAUUUAGCGAGGGGAUCUCCUCCCUGCUGUGUCUCCUGGCCUCUGCUAGGUACCUGGCAGCUCCUGUCAGCUUAGCCUGCAAGUCAUGUUUGCAGUCAGGAUCCUCUGCUAGUGCCCACUGCUGGACAGAUAUUUCAAAAUAAAGGUACUAGGAAAUCCAGGGUGCCUGGAAGGAUGUGGGAGGACCUGGGUCCACUUUGCUUUUCCCAGUGCCUUCUGAGCUCCCAGAUCCAAAGCUGAGAGGUCUUCUGCCUGCACAGUCUGGUGAGGGGUCCACCCUGACCCCAGCAGCCAAACCCUUGCUCUUCUGCUCAGCUGCUCAUGGGCCUGGGCAGAGCCUGCUGCUGGAACUGACUUGAAGCAGCCCCCUGGUUCCCUGCCCUAGACUGGAAGGUGCAGG